UUAGGGAAUAUUCGUCAAUGGGGGGAAACCCUGAACGAGCAAUGCCGCGUGAGUGAUGAAGGCCCUAUGGGUUGUAAAACUCUGUUGUAUGGGAAGAAUGACUAUAUGAGGAAAUGCAUAUAGAAUGACGGUACCAUAACCAGAAAGCUCCGGCUAACUACGUGCCAGCAGCCGCGGUAAUACGUAGGGAGCGAGCGUUAUCCGGAUUUAUUGGGCGUAAAGCGUGCGUAGGCGGUUUAUAAGUUUAAGAUAAAAGCCCGGGGCUCAACUCCGGUUCGUCUUAAAAACUGGUAGACUUGAGUGUGGUAGAGGUAAAUGGAAUUUCUAGUGUAGCGGUGAAAUGCGUAGAUAUUAGAAGGAACACCAGUGGCGAAGGCGAUUUACUGGGCCAUAAC
rnacentral:rRNA from 1 species